rnacentral:lncRNA from 1 species
CCGCCCGCCUCCGCCUCCUGCUGCUCUGCCGCCGCCGCCGCCGCCUGCAGCACUCCACUGCCGCUCCCACCCAGGCUCCGCGCUCUGCUCCAGCCAAACUUCUGCAGACCAUGUGCAGCCGAGGCGAGGAAACUUCUCUCCACCUAUUGGGGCUGGAGGCCUGAGUCACAAGCCCCUUGUUUACAUAAAGUGUUUAGGUAGCACAAGUCCUUGAGAUGCUCGGGGUAGAGAUGGAGAGCCACUGCUCGUAUCCUUCUGCCGGCUUCUGCUUGAGAUCUCUUGGCCUUUACCCUUGUCCCUUGACUUUUCGUGUUUGUUUUAAUCUUUAAGACUUGAAAUGGAGUGGCCUUUAGAACCGGGGAGAUACUGUAAACCAGCAGUAUCUUUGUGUCACCAAUGGUAACUGAAAGUCAUGCUGAAGUACAGAUUCCUGUAGCGUGCACAGAGGCAGAGGUGCUUCCUUUACCUUGCAGAUGAGUUGAGCGGCGUAAGAUGUUUCUGUUAGGGUUGAAUUUCAUGGUUAUUUCAGCAACGAUUUUCGUUUUUGAAGUUUUGGCCCCCCCAAAAAUGAAAGUCUGCAACGCAUGUUUGUUAAGAGAACAGUUUAUUCUCCUGUUAGGUUUUGGUCUUUGAGGUAUGGAUUCCAGAGUUGGCUAUUCUGUUAGAUUUAGAGGUGUGGAAAAUCUUUUAACGGGGAGAUCCUGAAACACGGAAACAUGGCAGGGAAGUUAGAAUUUCCUGAUGGUCAUUUUUAACAUUUUAAAGUUUACUUUUUGGUUGUUGCCAUUUUUCUAGAAUCCGUGUCUUUUUUGGGGAAAUACAGUCCUUUGAGGACUAGAAUUUAAUGAUUUCUUUACACAUCUAGGAUUUUUUGAGAUUUAGAAAGGAUAUGGCUUUAUUCCUAAGGAAGUGGAGGCAGCAGUUUCUAGGAUACUCUGGUUUCAAGGCAUGCUAACUUGGUUGUGAUGUCUAACCCAUUUUGGUUUACACAGUCUGACCACUAGCACAAUGCCUGGCACAUAGUUUACAAAUCAUUUAAGGCAAGCUUACCAUCUUAAGACAAUUUAAUACAUAGAAGUGUCCCUCCUAAAAAUCUGAGUUUGAUUUAGAAAUCCAGUUAUACCUGCAGGUACUGAUGACUAAUUCCUUCUUUGAAGACAAAAUAAGCAGCUGUGUAGCUUCAGUGGCUCUCAAAUGGAUAAUAGAUUCAGUGUAUACUCGCUUUGAACUUUCCUGUUUUUUGAUCAGCUAGAUAAAUGACUUUAGUGGGUAAAUGUCUGCCUCCAAAACCAAAUUCUGACCCUGAUCUAAGUAUUCUACUGCACCGCUGUCACUGGAAUAUCAAAGUUGGCCUUCAGACUGGUGCCUGGUUCCUUGGAUUGGCUUGAGUAUUGAGGUCUGUCUCAUCUUACUAGGGAACUAAAAUGAUGUUGAUUGUUUUGUAGAGAAUUGUAAUUAGAGAUCUGUAGGUUCUUAAUUCUUUUGGAAUUCCAUUCUGAAAAUUUUCAACCUUAUGGUGUUGGUGGAGUGCUCAUGUGAAGAGUGAAACUGACUUAAGAAUAAAAGAAAAAGUGGGCAAAACUAAUGCUAAACUUGAGACCAUUGGGCAGAAAUUUGCCUGUGUGUGUAGAGUAAUUGGUCUUGAGUCAAAGUAACUAUGCUUAUUUUUAACAUCACUGAAUAUUUUCUAGCGUUACACUCUAUAUAGGCUUGUAGAAAUAAACCCAGGGGUAAGCCCAGAAAUUGAAUAUCAGUCCUAAAGAAAGCCUAUCAAGAGCAUCCUAUUCUCUUUAAGAGCUGCUAUUCGAAUUUAGGACUGGGCUGGUUUGCUGCUCAUUCUCUCGAGGCAUAGGCAGCCACACUUGAAUUUUGCCAAGUAUGCAGAUAAUUCCAACUUGUAGUCAGGAUCAUCAGGUAAUAGCAUUAUAAGGGGAGCUGUACAGACUGUAUACUUUCUACAGUUUGUUGAAAUAGAAACAUUUAUAUGGAUACAUACAUCUGCAAAGGUUAGGGAGAAAACGGUAGCCCUGGCAGAGAAGAGCUAGUUAGUGUAUUUCAGGAUAGGGCCAAGGGAAGCUGUCAUUUCUCUACUAAGUCUCAUUGUGGAAAAGCCACAAAUGUCCCUAGUACAGUAAUAAGGAAAAAAAGGCUGAGCGUGGUGGCUCACACCUGUAGUCCCAGGACUUUCGGAAGGAUUGCUUGAGCCCAGGAGUUGCAGAUCGGCCAGGACAAUGUAAGAAAACCCCAUGUAUUAGAAAAAAAGAAUUAGCCAGGCGUGAUGGUGUGGGUCUAUAGUCUCAGCUUGGGAGGCUGAGGUGGCAGGAUCGCAUAUAGCCCAGGAGUUCGAGGCUGCAGUGAGCCAUGAUCGCAUCACUGCACCCUAGUCUGGGCAACAGAGUCUCUAAAAAGGAAAAAAAAAAAAAAAGUUAAAUCGCUGUUUAAUUAUGUGCCAAUUUAUUUUGGUAUUUUGAGAAUCUGGUAAAUUAGGAAUUCAAAAAUAGUUUUAACACUUUUUACUUCAAAGAAAAUCACAGUGCAAGCAAUCUGAGUGGAUUCAUCAAAAGUUAUACAUGAAUAUUCUGCAGAGUCUGGUGUUGCUGAAAGUUUUGAUUUGUGUUCUGCUGAGACACAACCAUGAAAAUAUGCACUUGCUUGUAUUCCGAAGAGGAUAGUUCCAGUGAGACUUGGACAAUGAGCAGAAAAAAUUUUUUUUUGAGACGAGGUGUCGCUGUGUCGCCCAGGCUGGAGUGCAGCGGCGCGAUAUCUGCUCACUGCAACCUCUGCCUCCUGGGUUCAAGCGAUUCUCAUGCCUCAGCCUCCCAAGUAGCUGGGACUACAGGUGCCCGCCACCACACCCG